UUCUUCGGUUAAGAGAAGUUUCUCAGAUCGGGAAUGUCCACACUGUACACAUUAGCAAAUGACCGUUAGACUCCUAACGCUGUGGUCAGCAGUGGAGCCAAGGAAGCCAGCAUGCGUCAGCUCUCUGUCCCCCGUGGCCACAGAGAGGUCACACAGGGUUCCAGCCUUGCAGUGAGAAAUUCUCCCCUGGGAGGAAGAAAAAGAAGAAAAGCUGCCUCACUCUACAGCCAGGCUACCCUAUAACUCACUAUGUAGUACAGCCUGCCCUUAAUUCCUCCUGCUUCACUCCCCAAAAUGAUGGGAUUAGGGGCAUGAGCCUCCACACCCAGCAUUGCAGUGUCGUCGCUGCCUGAGCUCAUAGGCACAGUUUGCUGUGACAGCAUCAAGUUCUGGGACACAGCUUCCUGCUACUGUAGCCCCCGGUGAAGUGGCAAAGUUCAUGUCUAUUCUGCCACCAGGACAAGGAAACAUGGGCUUGUUGAGUCCAUUCUUCAAGUGCAAGCUGAAACAUUGAUUUUUGCUCUCUCUCUCUUUCAUCUCAACUAUUGCUGUAAAAAAAGAAAGAAAGAAAGAAAGAAAGAAAGAAAGAAAGAAAGAAAGAAAGAAAGAAAGAAAGAAAGAAAGAAAGGAAAAGCCUUUUGGACAAAACCCUCAGAGGAAGCAAGCCUUCAUGUUCUGCAAAUGAGCAUUCACAAAGUGCAGACCUUCAUAGGCUCCAUCUUAGUGCUCCCUUGCUGGCCUUCCUGGAGCUUGGAGCUAAGGAUGGACCUCUCAGCACAAGACAACCCCAGAAAGGAGACUCUGGAGGCCGGGGAACCUGCAGGAUGCGGGGUCAGAGGCGUGCCAUAGUUGCAAGAGUCACCAUGAGCAAGGCAAACAUUUAAGAAAGCAUUUCCUUGCUGCUGCCUUAUACACUCAAAAGAUUAGUGUAUUGUCACCACCGCAGGAAGCAGUGCAGUCCUGGUGCUGGAGCAGUAGCUGAAGAUGUCUUGAUCCACAGGCAGAAGGUAGAGAAAGAGAGACAGUGGGUCUGGCUUGGGCUUUUGAAACCCCAAAGCCCACCUCCAGUGACAUAACUCCUCCAACAAGGACAUACCUCCUCCAGCAAGGACACACCUCCAACAAGGACACACCUCCUCCAGCAAGGACACACCUCCAACAAGGACACACCUCCUCCAGCAAGGACAUACCUACUCCAGCAAGGACACACCUCCAACAAGGACACACCUCCUCCUCCUAAGGCACACCUCCUCCAACAAGGCACACCUCCUAAUCCUUCCAGAUGGUUCCUAGGCUGGGCAUGCACAGAUAUGAGCCUAUGGAGAACCACAGGGUGACUGCAGGAAGGAGAGCUGUUCCUAGGACACUGUCCACUUCUCCCACCGACAGCCACCAGGAGAAGUCCACCUCUUGGUACCUAUGCAGUCACCUGGUGAGUAGGAGAGGGCUGGGUUGUUUCUUUGUGUCUGGAAGAACUAAGACUUGGAGAAGAAUUACACUACCAACGAAUCCAGCAAAUGUUGCAAGAGAGAACUAGCCAAGCUCACAGUUCGGCAGAAGGCAUGUUUACAAUAAGCACGAACACUGAUCAAAAGCGCCAAUUUUAAAAAUGGUUUAGCUUUCCCAAAUUAUGCAACCUCUUAUUACACUGUUCACUCUGGUUUCAUCUCUCAGUCUUCAAAGAAAUGUCAGGACACUGGACAGGAUGAAAGGAGCAGUGAUUAAAGAGAAGAAAAUGGCACCACAGGAAGGCUCAGAAUGUUGGAAGGGCCUGAAGGAAACCUGUAUUCCUGUAUGUUCUCUCAAAGCUGAUCUCAACAAAGGCAAACCUGCUUUCAAAAGGGGGAGCUGUGCCUAGCAGAGUAUUCAGGUCUUCUCCAAUGACCUGGACAGAGUACCCACAGACGGCCACUCAGGGUCAAACAGGAGAAAACAGGGGACUCUGAGAUCCUGCCAGCACAGCCUAAGGGUCAGAUGGAAACACCGGGUCCUCAGCAAUGCAAGCAGAGACAUGCAGCAAGAGGAAGGGCCAAGGUGCCUGAAGGAGCCCUGAGCUGUUUAGGAGCUGUGAUAUUACAUGUGAUGACCUGGAUGUUCUAGAAGUCUGCAUGAGCUAGAACCUUAUGACAGUGCCCAACAUUUUGAUGCAACGUUGUCAUGCAAACAUUCACAUUCAAGAACCAAGCAAUGCUGUUACAAAAACAAAACACUUAUUUACAUUGACACUGGUCCUGCUCCCUGUGCUUUUCAAAAGGGUGUGUCUUCUACUCUCUAACAGAUUUCUGAGGCUGAGCUUCCUUAGAAAUGCUACAGAAGAGUGGCAAGAUGGCUCAGCUGUAACGUCACUUGCUAACAUGACCUUCCUAGGGAGCAGUUGAAGGAAAAAAAAUU